rnacentral:rRNA from 1 species
UUUAUUGGGCGUAAAGAGUUCGUAGGCGGUUCGUUAAGUCUGAUGUUAAAGAUCGGGGCUCAACCUCGAGAGUGCAUUGGAUACUGGCGGACUUGAGUGCAGUAGAGGCGAGUGGAAUUCUCAGUGUAGCGGUGAAAUGCGUAGAUAUUGGGAAGAACACCGGUGGCGCAGGCGACUCGCUGGGCUGUAACUGACGCUGAGGAACGAAAGCUAGGGGAGCAAAUGGGAUUAGAUACCCCAGUAGUCCUAGCUGUAAACGAUGGAUACUAGGCGUAGCAGGUAUCGACCCCUGCUGUGCCGUAGCUAACGCGAUAAGUAUCCCGCCUGAGUAGUACGGCCGCAAGGUUGAAACUCAAAGGAAUUGACGGGGGCCCGCACAAGCGGUGGAACAUGUGGUUUAAUUCGAAGCAACGCGAAGAACCUUACCAGGGCUUGACAUGUAGAGAACUUUUCGGAAACGAGAAGGUGCCCGCAAGGGAGCUCUAACACAGGUGGUGCAUGGCUGU